CUCCAGCCAAUCUGUUGGGAGGACUGCUUGCAGAGGACUCGUGCUCCAGAUGUUGCACUAGAGGCGCUGCAAGUGUGAGCAGCAGGUAGAUGAAACUCAAGAGAAAAGGUGUGGAUAAAUGAAACUAGCCCAUGAUGAACCUGUUUUCUCCGUGACCACAAUAUUAACCAGGAUGAUGGCGGUGGCAGUGGGCCUGCAUCACAGGUUGCAGCAGAUGUUCUCAAUAUUUCUAUUAAAAUUUCCUUAUUUCCAUAUGCAAGAGGAGCCCCAGAGCUGCAUCCUUAUGGUAGCUACCAUGCCGUGAUGUAAGCUGCCAUUCACUGGGGAGCUUUGGCAAUAGAAUUGGCUAGAUCAGCAAGCCCAUGUCAACUAUGGAACAACAACUUGCAGCUCAUCUCUAUUGAUGAUACACUGCCUCUAGGACUGGGACAGAUAGCCACUGAGUACCUGCUUCAAAUCACCCUGCACGUUUUCUCUUUGGAAAGAUAAGCACUGGAGAACCAUCUCGUUACCUUCAGCAAAAAUGGAAACAAAUCAAGACAUUAAGAAUGCCACAGUGGACAGCAGUUAUGCAAGGUUCAGCAGAGGAAGUUUUCAAGAUGGUGUGCCUCACUAGCCAGAAAUCAGAAAAGAUCGAAGCUAGCCUUUUCAUCUCAGCUGCUCCUUAAAUCAGUGCAACCCCUCCAAAUUAAUGUGAAUUGAAACAUGCAUUGCUUUUCAACUUAAUUGAAUACUUACUAUAUGUGAACCACUGCACAAAAUAGGGGAAGAAGAUGUGGGAGACAAAGAUGUGGAGCCUGUCUUCAAUAAAUUUACAGUUAGUUUCAGGGUACAUUGUUUUUCU
rnacentral:lncRNA from 1 species